GAUGAACGCUGACAGAAUGCUUAACACAUGCAAGUCUACCAAGAAUCACUUCGGUGAGGAAUGGUGGCGGACGGGUGAGUAACGCGUAAAUAAUCUGCACUUUAGACUGGGAUAUCCUUUGGAAACGAAGGUUAAUACCGGAUAUUAUGAGAUGGACGCAUGUUCAACUUAUGAAAGCUAAAUGCACUAGAGGAGGAGUUUGCGUCCCAUUAGCUAGUUGGUGAGGUAAAGGCUCACCAAGGCCACGAUGGGUAGCCGGCCUGGGAGGGUGAACGGCCACAAGGGAACUGAGACACGGUCCUUACUCCUACGGGAGGCAGCAGUGGGGAAUAUUGGACAAUGGACCAAAAGUCUGAUCCAGCAAUUCUGUGUGCACGAUGAAGGUCUUCGGAUUGUAAAGUGCUUUCAGUAGGGGAGAAAAAAAUGACGGUACCUACAGAAGAAGCGACGGCUAAAUAUGUGCCAGCAGCCGCCGUAA
rnacentral:rRNA from 1 species